UACGUAGGGGGCGAGCGUUGUCCGGAUUUAUUGGGCGUAAAGAGCUCGUAGGCGGCUUGUUACGUCGGCUGUGAAAUCCCGCGGCUCAACUGCGGGUCUGCAGCCGAUACGGGCAGGCUAGAGUUCGGUAGGGGAGACUGGAAUUCCUGGUGUAGCGGUGAAAUGCGCAGAUAUCAGGAGGAACACCGGUGGCGAAGGCGGGUCUCUGGGCAGUAACUGACGCUGAGAAGCGAAAGCGUGGGGAGCGAACAGG
rnacentral:rRNA from 1 species